rnacentral:lncRNA from 1 species
GUGAGUACAUUAAGGAUUUCAAUAUAAGAUCAUGCUGGAUUAGCUGGGCGCACCCUAAACCCAAUGGCAAGUGUUCUUAGAAGAGAAGGAAGGAGAAAAACAGAGGAGAAGGCCAUGGGAAGAGAAGCAGGGAUUUGAGUGAUGUGUCUGCAAGCCAAGAAAGGCCAAGGAUGGCUGGCAGCCCCCAGGAGCCAGGAGAGAGGCGUGGACGGAUUCUCCCUCAGAACCUCCAGAGGGGACCCGUUGAUUUUAGACUCGAUUUUAGGCUUCCAGCCUCCAGAACGGAACAAAUUGGCAAGAAGUCAAAGGAGCAAGAUGUCCACGAGGAAGAGCAGCUCCUCUGCACUUCCUCCCAGGCCUGCCCGCCAGGCGCCAUAUGUAGGCGCAGGCUCCAGUGAGCAAGGUGCUAGGCUCUGGAAGAGACUCAAGGAAGACUUUCCAGAAGGAAUGACCUGUGCCCUGAAUUUCUAAUGACAAAUAAGAUCUCACUAGGUGAAGAAAGCCAGGGAAAGGAGAGAGGAGAAAACCGGAGAAAAGCGACCUUGGCUGGUGGUUCUGUAAGGUUAGAGCAGAUCAUGGGAGACUCCCAGUGGCAGAGAGGGUGCAGCCGAACCACGAAGGGUCUUUUCCGCCGUCCUUAGGAAUUUAAGCUUUUUAGGAAUUUUAUUUAGGAAUAUAAGCCAAGGUGGGGUCCUGAAAGGUUUUAAACUAGCUGACCCCCUGAAGGGUUAACAAACCAGCAUUCCACUGUCCGUCCUCAUCUUUAUAGUAUAUCUGAAAGAAAACUUGUUUUUUUUCUUUUGUCAUCUCAAAAAUAUUUGUAGUAACACUUGUCUGGGUCUUGAAUUGUGAUCCAUUUUUACUGAAGCGUAGUUAUGAUUUCGUAGG